ACAUUAAUUGGCUUCAUUCCUCUCUGAAGGUCUAGCAGAGCACAGCCCUCUUAUUUGCUGCCUUCCAAAGCACACUGUAUGCUAAAAAUAUUGAGGGAGUCAUUGUUCUUUCAUUGCCUUUUAAUCUUUAAGUAACGUGCCCAUAGAAAUAAGUCCAGUGAUUCUACCCUGACAUUCAAUAUUUCUUCAAAUUUUUAAAAAGCAAAAUAAAAAAGGAUUUCAUUACAACUUGGGGCUGGUGAUACCUAAGGAUAAGAGGCAGAAACAGAGUAAGGAAGCUGACCUAAAGUUAAAAUGGACAGUGGAAUCAAAACAGCCCUGGAAAAGGAGUCUGAGGAUCCUUCAGUCACUAACAAGUGUGCAUCUUGAACAACUCACUUGAUCUUUCUUCGACUUCAUUUCCUCACAUGCAAAAUGAAGAGGCUUGUCUACAUCUAGUUUUGAAUUUUCUAUGGUGACUACAAGAUUCCCACUUCUGCAUGUUCAGUGUUCUUAAAUACCACCAUUCUCGUCUUUCCUCUGUAGUUGUUCAUCAUUGACAAAAGGAGAUUUGGGGUUUAAUUAGCUACAUCUGCCUAAGGUACCCUUUUUUCAGAAAUUUCCAUCUAUAAGCAUACGAGUAAUACUCAAUGAAAAAAUAAUUUUUCUGGGGGCUGGCCCCGUGGCCGAGUGGUUAAGUUCGCGCGCUCCGCUGCAGGCGGCCCAGUGUUUCGUUGGUUCGAAUCCUGGGCGCGGACAUGGCACUGCUCAUCAAACCACGCUGAGGCAGCGUCCCACAUGCCACAACUAGAAGGACCCACAACGAAGAAUAUACAACUAUGUACUGGGGGGCUUUGGGGAGAAAAAGGAAAAAAUAAAAUCUUUAAAAAAAAAAUUAUUUUUCUGUUUCAGUAAAUUUUAAAAAUGAAGAAUGGGGUAUUUGCAACUCUCAAAAGAAUUUCAAAUACCAGAUGAAGUCCCCAUGACAUGAGGUCUUCAAAGAUGGCCAAAGUUUGGGAAGACUUUGAAAAAGCUGAGGAGAACAAUCAGUGAUUCAAUUAAGACUCCAGAGGAAUUCAUAUCAGAACCAUAUAGGUGAGGUCCUAAUUUAUGGUAAAAUCUCUUAACCUAUACUUCAAGUAAAUGGUUUAAAACAAUAUAGAGAGAUUAACAAUCCAAAUACUGAGAGCCUACUGGGUAAAAAGCACUGUCCGAGAAGCUGAAAGAAAGAUGAACACAGUGUGGACCAUGCCAGCGGGAGAUGACUGCUUUGUAAAAAACAGAAAACAAAAAACUCCAGCCCUUGAGCUGCUUGCACACCAUAGACACCUUGAGGCAAUUAGAGACUACAGCUGAUGCAGGCAAAACAAACUCAAUCAAAUCAGCUCACUAAAAGGACUAAAGCGGAUAGUCUGAGUGGAAAACCAUCAACUCAGUCCGGACUAAAAUCAGACAAUUUAGUCAGGGUGUGAAAGCAAACUACUGUUCCAUUAAUUUAACAGACAUAUCACUUUGAACCAGGUGUUUGGCUGACACUAAGCUUCAGCUAGAAAGCAGGAUCUGGCUCGUUUCAAUGUAUUUGUUCUAAAAUAAUAAGAGAAAGACCAGACAGAUGGGAAAACGAAAAUAAAAGCAAAUGACCAAGAUGAAUAUAGAAAUCAUAUCAAAUAUAAAGUAAAAGAAAGAGGAGGAAAGGAAAAUGAGAGGAUUGAAUUAGAUGAUUUCUAAAUGUCCUUUUCCCGUUCUAAAAAAAAAAAAUCCCUUGACUAUAUAUUAAAGAUCAGAAAUUUGAGAAAAUGAGUUAAGAUCAUCCAAACACCCCAAAUAACUCCAGGAUUAUACAUGGAAUAAUGUAUUUCAAAGGACAUUUAUUGAAAGUCCUAUUAAAUUAUUUCCAUUAAAAAAUUGUAAGAACUAGAGUGCCAGGUUUGAAGAUGAGUAAGACACAUUUAACAGUUACAUGAAGAACACAUGCUUACUUCUACAAACUGACAUUCUUUCCUGUGAUCACUUAGGUUACUGGCACUAAAAAUAUUCCAAGCAGAAGGGUAUUUUUCAGCCAGUUACAUAAUUGUAACAUACUUUGUUACUUUCUUUGAAAAAUAGAUUAAAUUACAUCAGAUCCAUAUACUUGACCCAAGAUUUCCAAUUUCUUUUAUAUGACAUCUUGGGGGUGGGGGACAGGGAAGAAAUGAUCUAAGAAAUAAAAUUGAAGCAUACCAUGUUUGCACCAUAAUAAAGCUUCCAAGUUUAAAGCUAAAUUAUCUCUAAAUAUUCUCCCUUAUGUGUCACCCUUAUAUUUUACCCUAGACAGCAUCACUCAGCUCUAGAAGUUUCUAUAGUAAUUUAGAAAGAUUGGAAAUGCUUCAUCUCCUGGAUGCUAAAAUAGUAUUUCCCAUGGGUUUAUUAUGAGGCAAAGCCAGUGGGUAAAACUG
ensembl:lncRNA